rnacentral:lncRNA from 1 species
UGGUGCUGCUCUGUUCACGAGGAAGAAUCCCUUUCCGCCAGACCCGCCUCUGGGAAAAACACACUACAACCCCUCAUGCACCAAGAAGCUUUUUAUUUUAUUUUUAUUUCACCUUUAUUUAACCAGGUAGGCUAGUUGAGAACAAGUUGUCAUUUGCAACUGCGACCUGGCCAAGAUAAAGCAUAGCAAUUCGACACAUACAACAGCAGAGUUAGACAUGGAAUAAACAAAACAUACAGUCAAUAACACAGGAGAACAAAAGAAAACAAGUCUAUAUACAGUGAGUGCAAAUGAGGUGCAGUGAUCUGUGAGCGGCUCUGACAGCUGGUGCUUAAAGCUAGUGAGGGAGAUAUGAGUCUCCAGCUUCAGAGAUUUUUGCUUCCAAAGCAACAGAGGAAAACCACCUGAACCCUGUUGGCCUUGCCCAGCUGUCCAGCCCUCCUCCUCUCCAGACACACUCACUAACCCUAGAGGACCUGUGCUUCCUUGGGGCAGCCAACCACUUCGUCCUCUGUCCUCCUGCCACAGAGGCCCAGCGUAGUUUUAGAGUCCUGGCCCUCCACUGAUCUUGUGUCCUCCCCGGCAUACACUGCCGCCUCCCCGAACACAGACACACUGACACAGGACCCAACAUCAGGAAAGUCCCUGGUCUCCACUGGGGGAGGAGAGCAGGAAGAUUCAGUGUUGGCAAAGUACAUUGAACGCUUUCGUCACGGAAGGCCGCAGAGUCAAGAGGAACGUCUGCAGAUGUCGGCGAUGGUGGGAGAGGGCCAGCAGCCUUUCGGGUGGAUGUCCUCCUCCCCUCUACCCUCCUGUUCUACACCCACUCAAACCACUGACAAAGGGCCUGUCAGACUCCUCUCACGGUGACCUUGGAGACUCUGAGAUACUGCAUCUACAGGAGAAGGCCAGUAGUCUGCUACACAGAGUGAGCACUCACUCAGUAGUGGAUCUAUCCC